UCAAUAAACUCAUCUCCAAUCUCUCUGGCCAGAAUUCAUCUAUCAAAACAUUAAUUUUUUAAAAAAAUAAAAACAAAUUCAUAUCAAAUCCCCCUCUCACCUUAAAAUCUUCAUGUGAAGCAAAAACCAUUUUUCCACAUCUGAAGAAAAAAAGGAACACCAUUUCCAUUGUUAUGCAAGAGAACAAAGAAAAACGCUUCAACCAAGCCAUGAGGAGUGAGGACGGAGCCUAUAUCUUUCACUACGAAUCUGGGCACAAUCUGUGGUUGAAGGGAGAUAGCUUCUGGGUCGUUGGAUUCGAGUAUAGAUAGAACAACCACAUGAAAGAUGUUAACCGGAGAGGUAGUCGACAGUGACGGAAAUGUCGAUGAUGGUGACCAGCUGGAGAUAAUGGAGGAGGUAUUGACACUCAUUCACUUCAACCUCAUUCUCUAUCUGCUUCAUUUAUGAUUUUUUUUUUAGUGAUGAUGAUGAAAGGAAGGGUUGGGUUUGAAGAUGAGAAGAGUUUCUAUUUCCAUGCUGUUGUGCUAUUGUUAAAUUUUUUUAGGGAUAGAUUUUGUUUUUUUAAGUUAGCAGAUUCCAAUUUUGAAGAUGAGAAUGAUUUCCCUUCCAAAUUUGAAGGUGAGAGAUUUGAGCAUGAGUUUGUUUAAGUUGUUAUAUUUAAUUUAUGUUUUCUUUUUUUAA